AGAACGAACGCUGGCGGCAGGCUUAACACAUGCAAGUCGAACGCGUGUAGCAAUACACGAGUGGCGCACGGGUGAGUAACGCGUGGAUAUCUGCCUUUUGGUUCGGAAUAACUCAGGGAAACUUGUGCUAAUACCGUAUACGGCUGGAAGGCGAAAGAUUUAUCGCCGGAGGAUUGGCCCGCGUCCGAUUAGCUAGUUGGUGAGGUAAUGGCCCACCAAGGCGACGAUCGGUAGCUGGUCUGAGAGGAUGAUCAGCCACAUUGGGACUGAGACACGGCCCAAACUCCUACGGGAGGCAGCAGUGGGGAAUAUUGGACAAUGGGCGCAAGCCUGAUCCAGCCAUGCCGCGUGAGUGAUGAAGGCCCUAGGGUUGUAAAGCUCUUUGUGCGGGAAGAUAAUGACGGUACCGCAAGAAUAGCCCGGCUAACUCGUGCCAGCAGCCGC
rnacentral:rRNA from 1 species